rnacentral:rRNA from 1 species
CGGAGGAUCCAAGCGUUAUCCGGAAUUACUGGGCGUAAAGAGUUGCGUAGGCGGCAGAGUAAGUAGGUAGUGAAAUGACGGGGCUCAACCCCGUGUCCAUUAUCUAAACUGCUCAGCUAGAGUAUGAGAGAGGUACCUGGAAUUUCUAGUGUAGGAGUGAAAUCCGUAGAUAUUAGAAGGAACACCGAUGGCGUAGGCAGGGUACUGGCUCAUUACUGACGCUCAGGCACGAAAGCGUGGGGAGCGACCGGGAUUAGAUACCCCGUUAGUCCACGCCGUAAACGAUGGAUGCUAGCUGUGUGUCGUAUCGACCCGAUACGUAGCGAAGCUAACGCGUUAAGCAUCCCGCCUGUGGAGUACGGUCGCAAGACUA